UACGGAGGGUGCGAGCGUUACUCGGAAUUACUGGGCGUAAAGCGCGCGUAGGCGGUUUGUUAAGUCAGCUGUGAAAGCCCCGGGCUCAACCUGGGAACUGCAGUUGAUACUGUCCGACUAGAGUACGAGAGAGGGAGGUAGAAUUCCAUGUGUAGCGGUGAAAUGCGUAGAUAUAUGGAGGAACACCGAUGGCGAAGGCAAUCCCCUGGACCUGUACUGACGCUCAUGCACGAAAGCGUGGGGAGCAAACAGG
rnacentral:rRNA from 1 species